rnacentral:rRNA from 1 species
UACGUAGGGUGCAAGCGUUGAUCGGAAUUACUGGGCGUAAAGCGUGCGCAGGCGGCUUUGCAAGUCAGAUGUGAAAUCCCCGGGCUUAACCUGGGAACUGCAUUUGUGACUGCAUGGCUGGAGUGCGGCAGAGGGGGAUGGAAUUCCGCGUGUAGCAGUGAAAUGCGUAGAUAUGCGGAGGAACACCGAUGGCGAAGGCAAUCCCCUGGGCCUGCACUGACGCUCAUGCACGAAAGCGUGGGGAGCAAACAGG